rnacentral:rRNA from 1 species
GAGUUUGAUCCUGGCUCAGAACGAACGCUGGCGGCGUGCUUAACACAUGCAAGUCGAACGUGAUUGAGAGCUUGCUCUCAUGAAAGUGGCGCACGGGUGAGUAACGCGUAGAUAAUCUGCCUGAUGAUCUGGGAUAACACUUCGAAAGGGGUGCUAAUACCGGAUAAGCCCACGGAGUCUUUGGACUUUGCGGGAAAAGGGGGGGACCUUCGGGCCUUCUGUCAUCAGAUGAGUCUGCGUACCAUUAGCUAGUUGGUAGGGUAAAGGCCUACCAAGGCUACGAUGGUUAGCUGGUCUGAGAGGAUGAUCAGCCACACUGGAACUGAGACACGGUCCAGACUCCUACGGGAGGCAGCAGUGGGGAAUUUUGCGCAACGGGCGAAAGCCUGACGCAGCAACGCCGCGUGAGUGAUGAAGGCUUUCGGGUCGUAAAGCUCUGUCGAGGGGAAAGAAGUGUAUUAGGGCUAAUAUCCCUGAUACUUGACGGUACCCCUAAAGGAAGCACCGGCUAACUCCGUGCCAGCAGCCGCGGUAAUWCAAGCRCGCAUUGGGAACAUAUCCGACCCAYGAKGCSGCCUCCWCWGGCCGUCUUURGACARCCAAUGAAACAGCUAGAKACUUCC